rnacentral:RNase_P_RNA from 1 species
UCGGUGUGCGGUUCUACCGCUCCGGUCGCAAGGCUGGGGAGGAAAGUCCGGACAAUACAGAGCGCCAUGCUGUGGAAAGCACAGGUAGCCGUAAGGUUAGGGAGGCAUAACAGAGAACGACCGUCGUCGCGAGGCGAUAAGGGUGAAAAGGUGAGGUAAGAGCUUACCGGUUGUGGUAGUGAUGCCGCAAGCCGUAUGUUCCCUUGGAUUGCAAGGCCAUGUACACCGGCAUUAGCAGGGUGGCUCGCCCGACGCCGGGGGGUAGGCCGCAGUAGAUAAAUGGUAGAACACGACAGAAUCCGGCUUAUACGCACACCGAUUUU